rnacentral:rRNA from 1 species
GACGAACGCUGGCGGCGUGCUUAACACAUGCAAGUCGAACGGAAAGGCCCUGCUUUUGUGGGGUGCUCGGGUGGCGAACGGGUGAGUAACACGUGAGUAACCUGCCCUUGACUUUGGGAUAACUUCAGGAAACUGGGGCUAAUACCGGAUAGGAGCUCCUGCUGCAUGGUGGGGGUUGGAAAGUUUCGGCGGUUGGGGAUGGACUCGCGGCUUAUCAGCUUGUUGGUGGGGUAGUGGCUUACCAAGGCUUUGACGGGUAGCCGGCCUGAGAGGGUGACCGGCCACAUUGGGACUGAGAUACGGCCCAGACUCCUACGGGAGGCAGCAGUGGGGAAUAUUGCACAAUGGGCGGAAGCUUGAUGCAGCAACGCCGCGUGCGGGAUGACGGCCUUCGGGUUGUAAACCGCUUUCGCCUGUGACGAAGCGUGAGUGACGGUAAUGGGUAAAGAAGCACCGGCUAACUACGUG